rnacentral:lncRNA from 1 species
GAGAUAAAGUUUAAGUUUGUUGUUACAAUUAGGCAUAGGUUUUUACCAUCUUUUCUUUUUUCUUUUACAGGAAAGGUUUUAAACGCAUUGCUUAUAAUCAUGCAUGGUAGGGUCAACUUCUGGAAACUUGAAAUACGGCAGUUAAGCUUCAGGUUUGGGACAGACUGUUUGCAAAUUCUUUGCCUCCCUCCAUCCCGCCAAGCAUAGGACAUGGGCUUCAUGAUCACUACUCUGGAUGGCUUGCUGUGUGUCAGACCAACAUGUAUGUGAGGGGAGUGGAUGAUCACCUUUCUGGUGGAAAGCAGAAGUUUCCAGGAUACAACCCAACCCAGGCCUUUUCGUGAGUUUACUACUGGUGGUAUAACAGAAACGUCAUGGAAGGCCUCUGAAACGAAGUGGGACUGCUGAGAGUAAGUAAAAAAAAAAAAAUGGUUUGAAUUCUAAAGCAGCCCAGCUGUGGGGAUGGUGGAGCAGGCCAGCAGCUAACAACCCUCCUCCCAGCUUGGGCACAGACCCAGGCUGGGUGCCCUGCAGGUGUUGUUGAUUAGUGGGAGGCCAGGUGAGACUCAUCAGGGAUAAAGAGGGCACAUAUGGACCCCAUUGGUGUAUAAAGCUGAGGAAGUAAAGUGGCUCCUUCCUGGUGGGGAGUUGGGGCUGGGAAGAGGAGAACAGGCUCUUCUCUGGAAGAAUGACAGCCUUCAGGUAAGGGAAACGUGCUUUUGAGCUGCUUUUUCACUGUUCCCUUUUCUGCUCUGUUUUAAUUCUAAAAGCCUAAAUAAUAGCUGGCUUCUGAGACUGUGUGAAAGCUGACCUGCUGCUGACACUGGGCCCCCGGGGGAUGUCUGCCAAUUCCUCACUGACCCUGGCCUGCGGGUGAAACUGGUUCGUCCAUGGGACCCUGGCUGCAGGAGCAAUAACCAUCUGCUUUCACUUUGGAGCAAAGAGAGGCUUUGGAAAGACUAGUGCUUCGUGUCACCAGAUGUUGGUUAGUACCAAACUGUGCUAGUUGUUGGCCUGUCAAGGAGAGUUCACUUCAAAGCAUACCUAGAGAAAGAAAAUGAAGUGUUAAAUCAGG